rnacentral:rRNA from 1 species
UGAAGCUGCGAAUGGCUCAUUACAACAGUUAUAAUUUACUUGAUGGUAAAAUUACAUGGAUAACCGUGGGAAACUAGGGCUAAUACAUGCGUAAAACCCGCAAGGGUUGUAUUUAUUAGUUUCAAAUCAAUAUACAGGAUACUGUAAGAGAGGAAUCAAGACAACUGAACGGAGCGCAACACAAAGCGCCGCAUCAAUCAAGUUACUGCCCCAUCAGCUAGUUGGUAGCGUAUUGGCCUACCAAGGCAUUGACGGGUAACGGAGAAUAAGGGUUCGAUUCCGGAGAGGACGCAUGAGAGACGGCGACCAUUUUUACGAAAGGCAGAAGGCGCGUAAAUUACCCAAUCCUAACUCAGGGAGGUAGUUAAUGGUCAUAACAAUUCCGGCCUAUUAGGUUCUGGAAAGGUAAUGAGGGCAGUGUAAAGAGCUGCUCGAAAUCGAUUAUAGAAUAAGUCUAAUGCCAGCACUCGCGGUAAUUUUAGCUAUAAUAGCGUAAAUCAAUGUUGCUGCAAUUAAAAAGCUCGUAGUUUGAAGUUCCGGCGUGCAAACGUCUGCACGUAGGGGCCGUCGAUACCGAAAGGUUUUGGCGGACUCGCGUGCUUUUACUGUGACCAAAAUAGAGUGCUCAAAGCAGGCUUACGCUUGAAUAAUAUAGCAUGGAAUAAUGAAAAAGGACUUUGUUCAUUUUAUUGGUUCUUGAACGAAGUAAUGAUUAACAGGAACAGUUGGGGGCAUCCGUACUUGAUAGUCAGAGGUAAAAUUCUUAGAUUUAUCAAAGACGAACUAGAGCGAAGGCAUUUGCCAAGAAUGUUUUCAUUAAUCAAGAACGAAAGUUAGGGGAUAAAAGACGAUCAGAUACCGUCGUAUUCCUAACCGUAAACUAUACCGACUAGGGAUUGGCAAGGCAGACCUUUGUCAGCACCUAAUGAGAAAUCAAAGUCUUUGGGUUUUGGGGGAAGUAUGGUCGCAAGGCUGAAACUUAAAGGAAUUGACGGAAGGGCACACCAGGAGUGGAUUCUGCGGCUUAAUUUGAUUCAACACGGGAAAACUUACCAAGGCUCAAAAUUGAUAGGAUUGACAGCUUGACAGCACUUUCUUGAUCCGAUAGCAAGUGGUGCAUGGCCGUUCUUAGUUGGUGGAGUGAUCUGUCAGGUUAAUUCCCUUAACGAACGAGACCUCAGCCUGCUAAAUAGGUUCGGUUAACACUAACCGCCACCUUCUUAGAGGGACUACAGCAGUAAUGCUGCGGAAGUUUGAGGCAAUAACAGGUCCGUUAUGCCCUUAGAGGUCUUGGGCGGCACGCGUAAUACACUGAUGCAUGCAAUUAGUUCCUAUAACCCGAACGGGGAUGGGUAAUCUUCAUAAUGUGCAUCGUGCUUGGGAUAGGACCUUGCAACUAUUGUCCUUGAACGAGGAAUUCCUAGUAAGUGUGAGUCAUCAUCUCACGCUGAAUACGUAAUUGCCCUUUGUACACACCGCCC